UCACUAUCCAGCUCUAUUUUAACUGGACAUACAUUAAUUUUGGUCAUGUCGAGUCUGUUUUGCCUGAGACAGUAACUGUUACAGUGAGAGUGGAUGAUGCAGCAAAGCAGAAGUAGAAGGCUGAUGCGAGAGUAGGAGAAGGGAAAAAAUAACUUCUUUGGCGAAGUUCAUGCUUUCAUGCUCGCUGAUUUUCCUCGUGGUGCUCUCUGAAUGAGCCGGCUCCUCUCCCUGAUGACACUGGCCUGCUCUGAAGAACUUUGAGUCGUCGUGGCCGUCCUCGCCUGGCGCUGUGCUUGGGGUGGGGAUUGCUACAGCCCUGUGCUGAGCUGGGGCACCCACAUGGUCUCUGCAGAUCCGUGCCUCUACGCCGCAUUUCCCUUUGCAGAGCCACUUGCCAGCUUUCUUGGAGCACUUCGAUAUUAUAGAUGAAAGGUUCAGUGCCAUGGUUUCUUUGCACUUGUUGAACAAUUUUUCUCCCAAGUAUUCGUCUUGUCAGUCUGCACAUUUCUGAUCUUGAAAGAGGUGAGCAGUGAGGCUGCGGCUUUGCAUACAGCCUCUGCUCUGCUGGGCAGUUCCAUCAUCCAUCAUCAAAUAUACUCCUGCCUA